rnacentral:lncRNA from 1 species
CUGACCUCUGGGAGCCCUUCUGGCCCCACAGUCUGGGGCACUGUGUUCCCAGCUCCUGCUGCAUGUCGGGCUGACGACCUACUCAUGCUUAGGAUGCCUCUUAAGGUGGGCCAGCCUCUGCCCAGCGGUGGGCCUCCUGAAAGGCUCUGGAGGUCAGGGUGACAAGACAUUUCAAGACUGUUCAUGGUCAGACCCUUCCAGCUCCUGGGGCCCCCAAGUCCCUCAGAACCACUGCUAAACGCCUGUUUGUCCUUGCAGUCUGGAGAGGUGGGAGGAGCUUCCCCUUUCUCCGUAGGUGGGCGAGCAAGAACGAAGCGGGGCUGGCCCGGAAGCAUCAGAGGCAGAGAGAACCUUGGCUCCAGACUCCAAGGAGCUCAGUAAGCUGGAAGUCGGCCUCCAGCAGGCCAAGAAGGAGUUAAUAAUCUCCAAGGAGAACGAGGGCUACUCCCAGACUGGAGGCCUGUGCCCAGUUCUACUGCUGCCAACCCCGGGAAGAAGUCCUGGGAUCUGUAGUUUGUGUCACCACCCACCCGUGGCCUGCCUGUUCAUCAACACAGUCCUGGGGACUACAGUUCCCAGAAACCUGCAGAGGCCAGGCUUUGGGGGAAGGGGUGGGGUGUGAGGCUCGGUGGCAGCAGGAGGGAGAGGGAGGAGGUGGGGAGAGAAAACCCAAUUCACCCCCUUCCUUUUUAAUUCUUUCUCCUGGUGUGUCUGCUCCACCGCCCGAGCUAAUCCCCCAAAUCCGGUCUCCUAAGCCGCAGCUGCUUCCCUUCGCAGUGAUGAAUGGCUCGGGGAGGGAAGUUCCAGGUGUCAAGGUUACGGCUGUGCUGGAUGCAGGCCCACAAAGUCCCGGCCUUGGGAUCACUGGACUCUGUGACCUAAAGGGGCGAAUGGAAACCCCCACCCCUAACCUGGAUCUCUGGUGAGCACCCCCCAAGCCUGGCCUAGGGCAUGCCCCAGUUCACUUUCGCCUGCUUCUGUGGCCUCCACGGCUUCUGCAAGAUGAAGAGGAAGAAGGAGGAAGUUCACAGAGAGCGGGAAACGGCAGUGUGAGCAGGACCCGGGCCCGUCUCCGGCCUCCUCCUCCUCCGGCAGGUGCCAGGCCUGAGGGCACCCACUUCUGGCAGGACCUGCCCGGCCCUCCAGAGACCGAGAAGCCCCGGGGCAGCCCCGCGAGUGAAACUGCUUUUGGGCCCCCGAGGGCUGCAGCUCAGGGUAACGCUCAGGGUAACGCCUCGGCGGAGGGACGCGCCACCUUGGGCGAGGAGCGCUGCUCCCGGAUCGGACACAGGCCACGCUGCCAGACGACCUCCCAGCAGCCUGGGCAGGGCACAGGUGUAAGAU